UGUUUAUUAAAACAAUGCAAUGUGAGUGGGUGUUGACACGAUGUGAUUUCUGCCCAGUGCUCUAAAUGUCAAAGUGAAGAAAUUCAAUGAAGCGCGGGAAAGCGGCGGGAGUAACUAUGACUCUCUCAGCACACCCCGACGUCACUGGAAUGAGG
rfam:Astyanax mexicanus Tnplaced_Scaffold3054, whole genome shotgun sequence.